UCGCUAGCCNUGCGAGUCAUAUGUUCUUCGUGAACAUGGCGUACUGCUCAGUAACACGUGGAUAACCUGCCCUUGGGUCCGGCAUAACCCCGGGAAACUGGGGAUAAUUCCGGAUAACGCAUAUAUGCUGGAAUGCUUUCUGCGUAAAAUGGAUUCGUCUGCCCAAGGAUGGGUCUGCGGCCUAUCAGGUAGUAGUGGGUGUAAUGUACCUACUAGCCGACGACGGGUACGGGUUGUGAGAGCAAGAGCCCGGAGAUGGAUUCUGAGACAUGAAUCCAGGCCCUACGGGGCGCAGCAGGCGCGAAAACUUUACAAUGCGGGAAACCGUGAUAAGGGGACACCGAGUGCCAGCAUCAUAUGCUGGCUGUCCGGGUGUGUAAAAUACACCCGUUAGCAAGGGCCGGGCAAGACCGGUGCCAGCCGCCGCGGUAACACCGGCGGCCCGAGCGGUGAUCGUGAUUAUUGGGUCUAAAGGGUCCGUAGCCGGUUUGGUCAGUCCUCCGGGAAAUCUGAUAGCUCAACUAUUAGGCUUUCGGGGGAUACUGCCAGGCUUGGAACCGGGAGAGGUAAGAGGUACUACAGGGGUAGGAGUGAAAUCUUGUAAUCCCUGUGGGACCACCUGUGGCGAAGGCGUCUUACCAGAACGGGUUCGACGGUGAGGGACGAAAGCUGGGGGCACGAACCGGAUUAGAUACCCGGGUAGUCCCAGCCGUAAACGAUGCUCGCUAGGUGUCAGGCAUGGCGCGACCGUGUCUGGUGCCGCAGGGAAGCCGUGAAGCGAGCCACCUGGGAAGUACGGCCGCAAGGCUGAAACUUAAAGGAAUUGGCGGGGGAGCACAACAACGGGUGGAGCCUGCGGUUUAAUUGGACUCAACGCCGGACAACUCACCGGGGGCGACAGCAAUAUGUAGGCCAAGCUGAAGACUUUGCCUGA
rnacentral:rRNA from 1 species